rnacentral:tRNA from 1 species
GCCUGGGUGGCUCAGUCAGUCGAGCAUCCGACUUCAGCUCAGGUCAUGAUCUCGUGGUUUGUGGGUUCGAGUCCCACAUCGGGCU